GGUUUGAUCUUGGCUCAGAUUGAACGCUGGCGGCAUGCCUUACACAUGCAAGUCGAACGGCAGCACGGGAGCUUGCUCCUGGUGGCGAGUGGCGAACGGGUGAGUAAUGCAUCGGAACGUAUCCUGGAGUGGGGGAUAACGUAGCGAAAGUUACGCUAAUACCGCAUAUUCUGUGAGCAGGAAAGCGGGGGACCUUCGGGCCUCGCGCUCUUGGAGCGGCCGAUGUCGGAUUAGCUAGUUGGUGAGGUAAAGGCUCACCAAGGCGACGAUCCGUAGCAGGUCUGAGAGGAUGAUCUGCCACACUGGAACUGAGACACGGUCCAGACUCCUACGGGAGGCAGCAGUGGGGAAUUUUUGGACAAUGGGGGCAACCCUGAUCCAGCCAUGCCGCGUGAGUGAAGAAGGCCUCGGUUG
rnacentral:rRNA from 1 species